CCUACGGGUGGCUGUGGUAUGGUCACCGGGAAGGUUCACCAUUAAGGCGAUCUACUCCAAAGGUAUCAUGAACGUUUCGAACUGGACAAAAUAUUCUGCCAUCGGGAACCGUAUACCCAAUCCUGCGCUGAAGACUGAGAACAUCCAGAACAUCGAACUCAGUGGCGGUUUCAGGCUCAACAAAUCCUUUCAAGCCGAUAUCACCCUUUACAGGGAGUAUAUCGACAAUGUUGUCGGUACUGUCGCAGUAGAAAACAGUCCCGGAAAAAUUCAGAACGAAAACAUCGGAAGGUUCACGAUUACCGGCAUACAAGCCAAUGCCACUUACCAAUUUGAAAGUUUUUCAGCCUGGUUCAAUUACACCUUUUGCGAUCCGCGACAAACAUACUCCGAAGCCGGUGCCGUCGAUACCCCGGUAGUC
rnacentral:rRNA from 1 species